rnacentral:rRNA from 1 species
GAUGAACGCUAGCGGCAGGCCUAAUACAUGCAAGUCGGACGGGAUUGUGGAGCUUGCUUCACAUGAGAGUGGCGCACGGGUGCGUAACACGUAUGUAACCUACCUUGUUCAGGGGGAUAGCCUCUCGAAAGAGAGGUUAAGACCGCAUAAAAUCACAUACCGGAAUCAGUAAAUGAUCAAAUAUUUAUAGGAACAAGAUGGGCAUGCGGAACAUUAGCUAGUUGGUGAGGUAACAGCUCACCAAGGUUACGAUGUUUAGGGGAUCGGAGAGGAUGGUCCCCCACACUGGUACUGAGACGCGGACCAGAGGCCGACGGGAGGCAGCAGUAAGGAAUAUUGGUCAAUGGACGGAAGUCUGAACCAGCCAUGCCGCGUGCAGGAAGACGGCCCUAUGGGUUGUAAACUGCUUUUGCAGGGGAAUAAACCUCAUUACGUGUAAUGAGCUGAAUGUACUCUGAGAAUAAGGAUCGGCUAACUCCGUGCCAGCCGCCGCAGUAA